GACGAACCGUGCAAACGUUGUUCGGAAUCACUGGGCUUAAAGGGCGCGUAGGCGGGCAAGCAAGUCGAAGGUGAAAUCCCACGGCUCAACCGUGGAAGUGCCCCCGAUACUGCUUGUCUUGAGGGAGAUAGGGGCGUGCGGAACUUCCGGUGGAGCGGUGAAAUGCGUAGAUAUCGUAAGGAAGACCAGUGGCGAAGGCGGGUCUCUGGACAGUUCCUGGACGCUG
rnacentral:rRNA from 1 species